GCAUUACACAGGUCCAUGCCCCAGUCGUGUUGCAGAUAUGGCUGUAGUGCCAUGUUUGUGUCAUUAGGUGGCAGAAAGGAAAAGGCUGUGUCUUUGC
rnacentral:pre_miRNA from 1 species